UGUUACUCGAUGAUAGUGUCUGUUAUUUCUGGUUCUCCUCUGUCUGAGGCAUGACUUUCUUUCUUUUGGACAAGGCGAAGAGCCUUGGGUUGUGCCGGGCACAUUAGAAUUCUGCUGUCACCGCUGGGGCUGCUGGUUCCUCUCCGACAGAGCGAAGGAGCAGAGUGGACGGGUCACAGAAUGUCACAACUGGAGGGAACCUCACACUUAUACUGAAUCAAGAAUCCUCCUCUUCAACCUACCUGAGAAGCAAUCCUCCACCGUCUGCCUGCCAUCUGAAAUCUACUGGUCUUUGAAGGGAAUCUAGGAAAGUCUUCUGUACCAGAACCCAAAAGGGAUCAUGGCCAAACUCAACCACCCAACUCUGACAUCUAUGGUUGCUGUUCUAAUAUGGAUCCAUGCUUCAGUACUUACAAGAAUCCAUGACUUCAUUGAUGUGGGACCUUUCUCUCCUCUGAGGGAGAGUAGAGCCCUGCCAUGCCUUAGUAGGCAGUCAUCAGGAGCUGCUGUAGCCAGAAAACCAUCAUCACCUGGUAGGCAGCCUUCUGCUGAUGGGCCUCUCUGAACUAAUCUUGGCCGGUCCUUGGAUGACAGACACUAGGCCAAUACUUGAAGCCUAUCCAGCCCUGGGUAGGACCUGCCAGGGCUUGAAUUCUAUGGACAUAACCUACCCAGAAUAGCCUCUGUUCCAUAGUGAGGAAUAAGAGGAGGACUUUGGUGGAGGACAACAUGAUUAUAACAAUCUGAUUUUUUAAAUCAACAAUUAAACUGCUAAUGAACCAUUAUUAAAACAUUAUUAAUUAUUUCAA